UCCGGCUUAACGCCGGCAGUCUACCUAGAGUGCCCAACUUAAUGGUGGCAACUAAAGGCGAGGGUUGCGCUCGUUGCGGGACUUAACCCAACAUCUCACGACACGAGCUGACGACAGCCAUGCAGCACCUGUGUUCCCGCCAGCCGAACUGAAGGGAUCCUUCUCUGGAUCCCACACGGGACAUGUCAAGGGCUGGUAAGGUUCUUCGCGUUGCUUCGAAUUGAACCACAUGCUCCACCGCUUGUGCGGGCCCCCGUCAAUUCCUUUGAGUUUCAAACUUGCGUUCGUACUCCCCAGGUGGGAUACUUAUCACUUUCGCUUAGCCACUGAGAUUGCUCCCAACAGCUAGUAUCCAUCGUUUACGGCGUGGACUAC
rnacentral:misc_RNA from 1 species